CCGGGGCAGUAGCGAUGUCCUUUGCCGCAUGCUAUAGCGGGGUGAUGGUUUGUUUCGGGUAACCACGUGACUGGCUGCCCUUGGCAAGUAGUGUUGACGUUCAGGUCUUACGCAAUAGGACCUGUGAACCAGGUCAGGUGGGGAACCAAGCAGCCUUAAGCAGUACUCCUAUGUGCCGUGAGGGUGCCUGAACUGAGCUAACUACCAAGGUA
rnacentral:SRP_RNA from 1 species